rnacentral:rRNA from 1 species
ACGGCUCAGUAACACGUGGCUAACCUGCCCUUGGGACGGGGACAACCCCGGGAAACUGGGGUUAAUCCCAGAUAGGUGAGAACUCCUGGAAUGGAUUUUCAUCGAAAAGGUGUUGAAGCAUGCUUUCAACGGCGUCCGAGGAUGGGACCGCGGCCGAUCAGGUUGUUGGUGAGGUAACGGCUCACCAAGCCUUUAACCGGUACGGGCCGUGAGAGCGGGAGCCCGGAGAUGGAAUCUGAGACAAAAUUCCAGGCCCUACGGGGCGCAGCAGUCGCGAAAACUCCGCAAUACGCGAAAGCGUGACGGGGCCAACCCGAGUGCCGUCCGCUGAGGAUGGCUUUUCCCCAGUGUAAUGAGCUGGAGGCAAUAAAAGGAGGGCAAGGAUGGUGUCAGCCGCCGCGGUAAAACCAACUCCUUGAGUGGUGAGGAUUAUUAUUGGGCUUAAAGCGUUCGUAGCUGGCCUGACUAGUCCCGCGUUAAAUCCAACGACCUAAUCGUUGGGCUGCGGGGGACACGGUCAGGCUUGGGGGCGGGAGAGGUUAGCGGUAUUCCCGGGGUAGGGGUAAAAUCUUAUAAUCCCGGGAGGACCACCAGUGGCGAAGGCUGCUAACCAGAACGCGCCCGACGGUGAGGGACGAAAGCUGGGGGAGCGAACCGGAUUAGAUACCCGGGUAGUCCCAGCCGUAAACGAUGCAGGCUAGCUGUUGGGAUGGCCUCGAGCCAUUUCAGUGGCGCAGGGAAGCCGUUAAGCCUGCCGCCUGGGAAAGUAAGAUCGCAAGAUUGAAACUUAAAGGAAUUGGCGGGGGAG